rnacentral:lncRNA from 1 species
AGAUGCUGGGGGAUAGACAGGGCUGCUGGGGACUGUUGUACAGGCUGUGCACUGCUCAAGGGUGUAGCCAUAGGCGCUGACUGAGGUCCUGGGAACAAGUCUCCAGAGGGCAGUGGCACUCAAACCCACGUACCUGGCUGGCCUCCCAGAAUGUGAGCUGAGCCCAAGCAUGCUGUGAAGCCAAGAUGCAGAGGUUGAUGAAGGCACAGCCCAUGGAGAUGUGGAAGUAGAAGGGGAAGAGUUUGCUCUGCACUAGUCCGAAGGGAUCCAGUUCUGACAGCCAAGACCACUCCUCUCAUAAAAUAAUACCGGAUAUUAGGUGAAGAUCCCGAAAGCCCCGAGGAAACCCUAAAUCUCAUCCUGAGGACACCGAUCCCACCAAAGCCCCGAGGAAACGCCAAAUCUCAUCCCGAGGACACCGAUCCCACCGUUAGGAACCGGGACCUCAAUCCGCAGCACCCGGAUUCCGAGAACAGAGGCGUCGGGGCCAAAUGGGCUGAAUCUGGUACCUCACUCCCACGCCCCCGGGUGGACAGCGACCCUCCUCGGCCGCGUCCCCUCGUGGGUUUCCCCCAACCAAUAAUUCGUCCCGCCUCCCAGCUGAGCCCGAAGCCAAUCGGGUCGUAGAUCUGCACCUUUCUAUCCCGCCCUCCUGGGUAUUGACUAAUCGUAGAAACCCCCCUGGGAUCCCGCCCCCUCCACGGGCUUUUAUCCAAUUACGCCGCGGCUACUAAGCGCAGCUGAAGCGUGAAGGCGCCAAUGAGGCCU